CGCGUGGGGCACGGUGAAACCCUAGAUCGGUCAACCACUCCCCCGCCCCCAAUCGGCUGCUUGCUUUCCUCUCCAAUCCCGACUCCUUCCUCCUCCCCCAAUCACGGCGUCUCCUCUCCUUGUCCUACCUCGCAUCGCGGGCGCCGCCGGCGCCGCCACCUUGCAUCAGGAGAGCGGCUGCGGGGCGCUGCUGCGUGGAGCGCCGGGAGGCGCGCGGCGGGCGCGCGCCGCCGCCACCACCUCACAUCGGGACAGCGGCUGCGGGAGCGCUGCUGCGUGGAGCGCCAGGAGGCGCCGGUCUGCCGGCGCCACCACCUUGCAUCGGGUGAGCGGCCGCGGGGUACUGCUGCGUCGAGCGCCGGGAGGCAGCCGACGUGAGCGAGGACAGAGCGCGGGCGGCGCGGCCACAGCCACCUCGCACCGGGAGAGCAGCUGCGGGGCGCUGCUGCGUGGAGCGCCAGGAGGCGCCGGUCGCGGGCGUGGCCGUGCGAAGAGUAGGUGGGCGGGGGUCGCGUCAGCCGCCUCCUCGGGUCGACGCCGCCCACCAACGUGUCCUCCAAGUCCAGUCCCCACUGCCGGCUCCUAGGAUGACGCCGAUCCGGGGCAGGAUCUCGUCGUGCCGGUGCAGGUAAUCCUCCGCGAAGUUGCUGCGUGGGAUGGCGCCAGCGACGACAUCAACUGUCUUCUUCCCCUUCCUGGUUGAUGAACGCCAUUCCAGGGGGUGCCUUUGUACGUGAACCAGAUCUUGAAAAUCAGGAUAUGGAUGGACUCUGUCUACUUUGUAUGUGUCUACUUUGUGGAUACGCCGCUGCAGGAUGUGGAUGGACUCUGUCUACACCUUUGUAUGUGUCUACUUUGUGGAUAUGCCGCUGCAGGAUGUGGAUGGACUCUGUCUAGACCUUGGUCGUCUGCCCUGUCUUCCUCCUCUUUCGGUUGGCGGGGGUUUGUGGAUGAAGCAUUCGAGUUGGUCAGUAGCAUCUACCGAAGGACAUCAUGCUCAGACCUCCCAAGCAUCAGAUGGAAACACUACAUGGACAGUAGGAAUAUUGCAAUGAAGUCGAUUGUUUGAAGAUGAUGGUGGAGCUCUAAACACUAUGCGUGCAAAUCUGAGGAAGAAUCUCACGGAAGAGUUUCAUGAAAGAGAACAAGGUUAUACUCUAUUCAGGAGCCAUUGUACAUGGAAGUCAUGUAAGAUUAAUGGUACUGAAUUGUGAUAUUAAUAAGUAUUGAUGAAUUGUGCCAAGUAAUGAGAAGAAAAUCAUAAGCUAUCUCCAUGGGGACUUCUGCAUUUGUUUCCCUAGGAUAUACUCUUACUCACUGUUGCUGGCCUGUAGGUUCAACCAAAACAAGUGUAAAAUUGCAUUUAUCCUGUAUCAAAUUAAGAUAUCUGAAUUC